UCCCUGGUGGCUGAGUUGGUAAAGAAUCCGCCUGCAAUGCGGGAGACCUGGGUUCGAUCCCUGGGUUGGGAA
rnacentral:tRNA from 1 species